GUCAGUGUGGAGCAAUGGUUUAAGCGUUGGACUACAAUUCUAGAGCCCAGGAUUCGAAUCCCUGCUCAGCCA